UACGUAGGGUGCAAGCGUUGUCCGGAAUUAUUGGGCGUAAAGGGCUCGUAGGCGGUCUGUCACGUCGGGAGUGAAAACUCAGGGCUUAACCCUGAGCCUGCUUCCGAUACGGGCAGACUAGAGGUAUGCAGGGGAGAACGGAAUUCCUGGUGUAGCGGUGAAAUGCGCAGAUAUCAGGAGGAACACCUAUGGCGAAGGCAGCUCUCUGGGACGGUACUGACGCUGAGACGCGAAAGCGUGGGGAGCGAACAGG
rnacentral:rRNA from 1 species